ACAGCUGUGGCCAGUGGUUAAGGCGAUGGGCUAAAAAUCCGUUUGGGGGUUUCCCCGGGGGGUUCAAUCCUCCGGCUGCG